GCUUUAUAAAUUAGUAAAAUUUUGUUAAAAAUUUUUUAUAAAUCAUUGUUUUAUUGUUUUAUUUUAUUGGGGUGAUAUAAAUAUAAAUUUAUUUAACUGUUUAAUAAUUGUAUUACAAUGUAUAUGAGUGUUUUAAAGUUAAUUGAUCCUUUAUAAAGAUUUAAAAUCUAAGUU
rnacentral:rRNA from 1 species